AUACGGAGGAUGCAAGCGUUAUCCGGAUUUAUUGGGUUUAAAGGGAGCGUAGGCGGGAGCUUAAGUCAGCGGUUAAAUGGUGCGGCUCAACCGUGCGCUGCCGUUGAAACUGGGUUUCUUGAGAGUGCAAGAGGCGGAUGGAAUUCAUGGUGUAGCGGUGAAAUGCUUAGAUAUCAUGAAGAACUCCGAUUGCGAAGGCAGUCCGCUGGGGCACGUCUGACGCUGAUGCUCGAAGGUGCGGGAAUCAAACAGGAUUAGAUACCCUGGUAGUCCGCACGGUAAACGAUGAUUACCCGCUGUCGGCGGUAGACAGUCGGCGGCCAAGCGAAAGCGAUAAGUAAUCCACCUGGGGAGUACGCCGGCAACGGUGAAACUCAAAGGAAUUGACGGGG
rnacentral:rRNA from 1 species